rfam:Echinostoma caproni strain Egypt genome assembly, scaffold: ECPE_scaffold0004207
GCACUGCUGACGAACCCCAAACAGGACGAAACAGCUGUCCAGUGC